rnacentral:lncRNA from 1 species
AAAAGCCUGCUCCCUACAUCAGUAAUGAAAUUGGGACCCUUUAUCAGUAAUUAUUGUGUGUUUGCUGAUGCUUGUGUAUUCCAAAUAAAAUGCUGCCUGGUGUAUGUGUUACUUUUGUGUGUCUUGUAAAUGUGGAACGGUAUAUACGCAUGAUUGCGGAACUGAUAUUGUUAAGCUAAAGGCAGCUCCAGUGUGGAGUGCCUGGGUUUGGGUUGUAAUUCUACAUUGAGACUUGAGAGUGAAAAAUAUGUAAAUGUGUGUUCUUUAAAGGUUUGUCUAAAUUAUUGACAGUGCAGUUGUAUAUAUAUUUGCUCGUACUGCACUCUGAAAUUAAAUAAAAAAGGCAACGUAUCAAAGGGCAAAUCCGGCAGCGUCGUCGGUCUCAAUAAAUUCCAAGUUUUAAAACGAACAUGUGUUUGGGGGAAAAAGUUGGAAACAUUUCUCUUAAUUUCUUACUGCGAACUCUAAAUUUGUGUACCCUAAAUACAUGCACUGUCAAGACAUAUUGUAUGGGGGAUUUAACAAAAUUAAUUUGAUGUUACAAAUGUUGUUAUAUUUUUUCUAUAAACUUAGUCCAAAUCAGAAAAGUUUGACUUACAACAAAACCAAAACAAACCUACAUUUUAGAACAUAAUGAGUAAUUCAGUUUUUAAAAUCCAUUUGGAGCUCUAAAGAAAAGGAAAAACUAUCAUCAUCACUCUCAAACCCUUAACAGCUUCUUCAUUCAUGUCGGUUUUCGACGAACUAGUGGCUAAUUUCUUAGAGAUAAUAUAUUUUUAAAAAACUUCAUAACUGUGUCUUGUUUUUAGUGUUUUAUUUAAUUUUCUAUGCAGAUAGAAACGCACCAUGUCAGUUUUAAGUCAAAUUUGAGCAGUUUUGAAGGAUUUAUAAGAAGGUGCGUACCUGUAUGAAUCAUAUUUCUCAUCAAGAGUCAAUAAACUUAAUAGGCGUGCCAUUAAUGCGACAAAGGUGAACAUGAGCCAAUAGUGUUUUACUUGUUAACAAAUUUUGAAUAAAGGCUAAAAUGAGAUACAGUGUUUUACUCCAUGUUUUUAUACUCCAAACUUCGCUUGAUGGUAAAAAAGGAACACCUCCUCUUAAUUAUCAUAACCAGCUAAACAAAAGAUUAGGACUAAAAGUUAACUCCUUGUAAGUUAUGUAUAUCAACUUCUAUCUUACAUUUUCAUGCUUCUUCCAACUCUUGCCAAACAUGGAAAUGGAUACGAGGGUUUAAGAUAUAUUUACUCAUUUUAAAAUGUUUGUUUUGAUUUUAUCCUAAGUCAAACUUAUCUAAAUUUAACUAAUUUCAUAGAAAAUUAUAUAUUUACAUCUAGAAAAAAAAUCCAUUUUUUUAAUCAUUGCUUGAGUCUCAUUUUGCCCGUCUAAUUCUAAAACUAGAAAUUUUCACCUAACUAUCAAAACCGAACGAAUUGGCUGUCAAACUGGUUCCAAGGUGGAUUUCACUGGUUUGGACGGCAAGUGGCACUAGGCCCACCCGUCAGGCAUCAUCGUUAACCAUCCUUUUCUUUCUCCAUAUGGUGGCUCGGAUUGGCGCUGAUUGAUCGCAUCGCUCAAAGGUCAUCAUCGGCCCAAGCUCCGCCGGCAUUUGCCCUCCUUGCCGACCAUAGCGGGCUCACGUUUCUCAUGGUGACAUGCUCAAUUCAUUGGGAGGGGGGAGUAUAAAAAUGACUUGGGCCUACUACCAUGUGUAGUUCACGUAAAACCCAUCAAACCAUUUGGAAGGUCAAAUCUGAACAUCUCAACAGUUGGAUGUUAACAAUCUCUAUUUCAAAAUUGGAUGACCAAAACCACACUUGAAUAUAUAGUUGAAUGGCUAAAAAAAGGAGUUCCUCUUAAUAUCAAAUAAGUAUAUCAUAGUAAAUUUAAUGAAACUAAUUUGAUGUUAUAUGUUUUUUUUGUAAAUUGAAUUAAAGAUUUGAUUUUUUUUAAACUUAGAAAAAAUUAUAUGAUAUUGUGAAGUUAGUACAUACGAAAAGCAUGAGUAAGUGUAGGCUAUGCACAGUGCAAUGCAUAGAGUUCAAGCAAAUCAAAUAAUACAAGUCCAUGGUCCAUAGCCGCGCGAGCGCGUGGCUCGUUCUUGCAAUGCGGAUUAGAUGCAUCGAUAGUCGUCUUCUAAUCCUCACACGACUUCUAAUCCUUAGAUUAUCAGAACAUGUGUGGCAAUACUUUAUUAUUCACCAGACACGCACGUGAGUAGCCCAGGGCCCACAGUCCAGCCUCCCAAGUUCGCCGGGUCCACAAAAUAUACUGAAGUAAAGCCCCACGUGCGAUCUGAUUGCCUGAAUGCAGAAAGCCGACGAGGGCCCACUGCGCACCGGGCCUUUGUAAAUCGCAAAAUCCAAACUGCCUUUUCGCAUUUCUCCUCUUCGAAAAUCUUUUUUUCUGUAUAAAUUUCUUUCUCUCGUCAGUCUACGCCGCACUCAUCCACCCAAACCCUCCCCCACCAACCUCGCCGGAACCCUAACGGCGGCCGCCGGCGCGGGGGAUCGGCGGCGAUCGCAUUGCUGCGCCCCCGAUGGCGACCCACGCCUCCAAGUGAGUCACCCCCCGGCGCCGAUCUAUUUGGCCGCUCUCUUCGUUCGGUUUAGCCCCCUUGCGUCAAUUCUGAUGCGGAUUUUGUUGGUCCGGUGAAUCUGGUACCCGUCACAGGAGUUACCUGUGCGCGGGCAGCUCGUCGUUCGAUGAUCCCGACGUGGUUGAGGUGUCCCCGGCGACCGCCGCGGCCGGGGGGUGGGCCUCGGGCCACCAUAAGAGGAAGCGGAGCCAGGUGAUGUAGAAAUCGCCUCCCCCUUUGUUCACUGCGCGUGGUUUUGUUGCUAUUGUUGUUUCGGAUUGGGAAUUGUGGUGCGUGUGGAUGGUUGAUGCGGUUUGGGGAUUGUCAUCGGAUUGUACUGGAAGAAAAUGGUUGGUUAUGUGAUCCUUCAGUGAUGCUCAGUAAAAAUGACUAACUCAAUCGGCGCAGAAUUGAGACUAUUUCUCUAGAUACCUUAUGAUUGGUCGGGUUGAGUGGUUGAUUUUCUGCGAUUGUGCUAGAGAACUAAUAGGUUUUGAUAAGGCCUGCUGAUUAUCUGAUUGCAAAAUUGCAGUUAAUAAGUUUGGCGUGAGUCAUGUUUGAAGGAAAUGUGAGAUGUAUGGUUUUUGAUGAUCAUCUCUCUCUUUUUCUUUGCAGUUUGCUGUAUACCCAAAAAAAAAUGUCACUCCCUGAACAAUUUCCUAGGAGUAAUUCUUAGAGACAAUUAGCAUGGGAGAGCAGAAUUACAUCAUGACUUUAUUAACUAUAUCAGCUUCUUUAGAGCAUCUCCAGCAUUCUCCCAAUAAAUAUUCCCAAUAACUAGUUAAUAGGGAUAUCGUAAUACCACUUUUAUCUUUAUUGGGAGAGUUACUUUUGCAGUCUCCCAAUAAUGUCAUCCCAAUCCAGCGGUGAAUUAUUAGGUUGUCCCAAUAAUUAUUGGGAAAAGGGAAAGGUAAAGGGACUGUUGGAGCACUAUUUUCUUACCUACUCUCCCAAUAUGGUAGUUGGAUUGGGGAAUGGGUAUCUGCUGGAGAUGCUCCGUUCCCUAGAACAAAAUAGGUUCUUGCUUCCCCUUGCAUCUUUGGUUCAUUUACCAGGUCCUUGAUAUUUUUCUUUUGGGAACUCACGGCAGCCCUGGUCAUCCUUCAGCUUAAAAGGUGCGGGUUUUUUAACCAUAUUGGACAUCUUUUGGGCAAUAUGCUUCAGGCUUCCAUGGUUCUUAAGAGGAAUGGUAGCGGUAGCCCUGGGCCUUGUUGGUCGGUUACAUUCUUCCUCCUCCCUCCCCCUCUCUUGCUGUUUUUAAGUUAGGCAACUGGGACACCCAGGAUUUUUUAGGGCCUGGACGCCUAGGUGUUGCCUUGAAAACCAUCCAGGCUUCUAUUGUGGAUGUCAUAAUCCUGACUGAGUACCUGCCCGCCGAUCAGCACACAUGCAUACUUUGCCACUGGGCACUAUAGCUGAUCUCCAGAAAUUAUCUCUGCCAAUUAGUUCAUUUGGAGAAAUGCUACUCCAAAAUAAUCUUUUAGCUCUAUGAAACUGUAAAAUAUGCCUCCUUAGUAGAAGUGCCAGAAACACUUUGGAAUUUUUAAUGAUGCACAAGUAGUCCUUGCCAUUUCUCGAAGCAUACUUUUUUUAUUGUUGUAAGGAACUGGUAUAUAUAUUUUUUUCAAAUAAAGACAUACCAUGUGUGUUGCCUGCAUAUCACACAACUAGGUUCCUCGGUUCUUCAUGCCAGAUCUCUUUUGUUUCCAGUUUAUCUGCACUGUAUUAUACUGUUUUGACAUGUCGCUCAUUUUUUAGAGCAUUUGAUAUGGUAAAUAAAUAGCUUCUGAGCAGCCUGCAUGUUACAAUUAUACUGUACUGAAAGAAUGUUGAUACAGUUCUGGUAACUACUCUGAUUGAUGCGUUUUCUUCCGAAUCGUAGGUUGUACCUCAUGAAGUAAUCGAAAUUGAUGAUGAUGACCCUGAUGGAGUUAUGAUUAUUGGUGAUAAUAAAGCAUCAGUGGACAAGAAUAAGCAAACUGUCGUAUACCCUAUGGAUUGGGCAAAGCAUGGCAAGGUAUUUCCCUCAUGUCAUUCCCUUUUUCAUACCACUUGCUUCUGCUCCAUGUCAAUUUCUGACAGAUUCUCUUCUUUAAACAAAUUUAGAGUAGUUUGGUUCAUGAAAUUCCUGGCCCAAGCACAUAUGCUCCAAAAUAUGCCAAUCCAUGGGUUGACAACCUGAAAAUGUUUCAAGACGAUGCAGCUUACAACUAUUCUGAUGAGGGAUUUGAUGAAGACUAUGCAUAUGAUGAAGAUGAGUAUGAAGAUGAUGGUUAUGAUGCUUCACUUGUUGAAAGUGAGUAUAACUAUAGUUUGUCCUCCAAGUUUGAUAGCUUGGAUAUUCCACUUGGUGUGGAGGCUUCCUUACCGUGGACUCAGACGAUUGCUAUUGAGAUUGCAAAUAAGACCAAACCCACUAAGAUCGUGGAUGAUAAAAUAGAGGAAAAAUACAAGGCGUUUAAGCAAUUUGAUACUGUUGAUGAUCAUAGUGAUCAUUAUUUUUCUAAGCCAGAGUUAAGAAAGGUCCAGGUGGUGAAAAAGGUAAGUUUUUUUACAUGCCCUCUCUACCACUUGUUGCCUUAAUUUAGUUCAGUGCUAAAGUUCUUUCAACAGCCAUCAAAAGACUGGGCGAAACGUAUUCAGCAUGAGUGGAAAGUACUAGAAAAAGAUUUGCCAGGUAGGUAGCUAGUGCCUCCUAUACUCUGGUUUUAUGAAUGCUGGUUGUACUAAUGUUUUUCAUUAGUAUGACUCGAUGCGCCAUGCCUUUGUUAGUUGAAUUGCCUUGUCCUGAUGACAUUUGCUUACUAUUUUAGUACUUAGAAGUUAGAAGCACUUUAUUCUUAAGGACCAAUAAGAUUAUAAUUUAGCUUUUAUACUUUUUAGAAAUAUGUUAACUUGGUUUUUUCUUCAAAUUAAAUAGAUACUAUAUUUGUGAGGGCGUAUGAGGAUAGAAUGGACCUGCUUAGAGCUGUCAUUAUGGGACCAGCUGGCACUCCUUACCAUGAUGGGCUCUUCUUCUUUGACAUUUACUUCCCUCCACAAUAUCCAAAUGUACCGCCAGUAAGAUUUUCUUGACUUAAGCAGCUUAUCUCCAUCAGUUAUUUUCCUUGUUUCUUCAGUUGCGUUAAGGAUCUUAUGAUGAUUAGUUAAUUCUCCACAGAUGGUGAAUUACCGCGCUGGUGGUCUGCGGCUUAAUCCAAACUUGUAUGCUUGUGGGAAGGUGUGCCUUAGCCUUCUAAACACAUGGACUGGCAGUGGAUGUGAGAGGUGGAACCCAUCCAAUUCAACUAUGCUGCAGGUCUUGGUCUCCAUUCAGGCUUUGGUUUUGAAUGCCAAACCUUAUUUCAAUGAGCCUGGUUAUGCUAUGCAAGCUAACACACCUCAUGGGGAGAAGAAAUCCCUGACAUACAAUGAAGAUACAUUCCUUCUAUCAUGCAGAACAAUGCUGUAUUCUCUUCGAAAUCCACCCAAGGUAUGCCUCUUUUCUUGUCCUAGUUAGUGGAGGAGUACUUGUUUCUGUAAUGAUCCUGAACUCUUGGAAACUAAUAUAACCAUGGCAAGUUGUCAACUGCCAUGUGAAUAUGGGGCUCCAACAUGGCAAUUUAAUUUGUAAUAUAGUACCCUUUUUUAAUUAAAUGACAUUUAACCAUCUUGGCUGUCAUAUACAACCUUGGUAAAUGCAAAUCUGAUGUGGGUGUACUUUCUGCAGAAUUUUGAGGAUUUUGUUGCUGGCCAUUUCCGCGAGUAUGGGCGCAGCAUCCUUGUAGCUUGCAGAGCUUACCUGGACGGUGCCCAGGUUGGAUGCCUUGCUGGGGAUGGAGUGCAGGAUGUCGAUGAGGGUGAUAAGAGCUGCUCCGUGAGGUUUAAGCAAUCACUGAAGAGACUGUUUCAGGAACUUCUGAUGGAGUUCAUCGUGAAGGGUGCGGACUGUGACAAGUUCCUCGCCGAAAAGGGGAGAUCUGGAGCUUCUGCAGCGGCCGCGGACACCACAUUGAGGCUAUAAGGCAGAGUCAUCGUGCGCUAAGUAAUAAUUUUGCCAUUCAAGCUACCGCUCCUAUCCUCGGUCUGCCGCACAGCAAGUUAUGCUGGAAGAUCUAACUGCUUUCUGUAGGUAGCCUAUGUAAAUAUCCGUCUAGCCCGCCUGGUAAAAAACAUAAUUGCCAUAUUCGUGCGCUUAGGGACAGUGUUUUACUGGAGUGAUGGCCCGCAAGGGCAUUUAUCGGCGGAGCCCUCGUCCGCAGCUUGUGUUCUUAUAUGAUUGUGGUCUCCGUUUGGAUAUUAAAAUGAGAUCUGUCGGGUGAUCCCUGCCUAAUUCGUCUUGGGAUCUCAGGCCCAGAGUGAUUACCUGAUGCUGUGUGCCUGUGUGUCUGUCUCAGUGCAUGUCCAUUAUAUAAAUAGUGUCUCCAGUGGCCGAUGAUGCUUUGGUAUAAUCGCCCGCCUGUGAUCCCUUGGGAGCUAGCAGCUUUGGAUGCUUCCAUCCAUUCUGUAGUCCACUGGUGCUUGCGCGGCUUCACCUUGAUGGUGAAUGUCAUUGGCAUUAUGUCCAAUCUUCAGAGGGAAAAAAAAGUUCACUUGAGCCGCAGCACCGUCUUGGACUGUUUUUCGCUAAUUUUAAACGUGGUGCAAGAUUAAUUCUGAACAUAACUCCUCGCAAAAAAAAAAAUCUGAACAUAGCAUUGACCCCCUGAUGCAACUGGCUGAAAUUGGGGAGCGAGAAAGUCAGAAACACACAAAUGUGGACGUCAGCGGGAGACCUGCUUCCAGUCCCCGGUUAUUCCUUCCACAUUCAGUCAACCACAAAUGUUCAAAGCAUUCUAGUAGCUCAUAACCUCAAGUCUCAUUUGCAAUGGAAGUUACCUCCUAAUUUGCCAUGGAACUGAAUCAUUUCCAACGGAUUUGUUUAAAUUUGCUCGCAUCGCCGGUAUCAAUCAGUGCGAAUCACGAAAAAUGCACACGUUACACGUCGUCUUUUUUUUUUCUCUAUUUGUUCCCCGGCUGAACUGUGCACGCUUCAUGACUGUGCCACCGGUAUGGGCGUUUGGCAGAUCCAAAUUAGUAGCCCACCAACUUAGUAAAUGAUCACACCACACCAAUGGAUCUAAACAAACCAGAAAAAAAAAUGGAAGAAGAAAGAACAAAUCCCAUUUCCUCUAACCCAUCGAUAGCUUAAACCCCCACAAGUCAAGCCUUCCGCGUCGGCUUCGUCCUCCCUCCCAUCGUCUCCUUCCCCAAAACCAGAUGGGCGAAGGGAGGAGACGGCGAGAUCUCACUCCCCGCUUCCCCUCCGUCUCCCCGCCCCAAAUGGCGCCACCGCGCGCUAACCCUAGCCGCCGCCACCCGCUCCUCGUCCUCCCCCUCCUCCUGCUCCUCCUGAUCCCGGCCGCCGCCGCCGCCGCCGGAGAUACCUCCUUGUCCACCUUCUCGUACUCCCGCCACUGCCCCGGCCUCCCCGCGGCGCCCGACGUCCCCGCGGGAGACGGCCACGCGCUCCCCACCCUCCAGCUCUCCACCGGCUACUUCUCCGGCGGCGGGCCCCGCAUCUUCGCCCCCGAACCCUCCUCCCAGCCGCGGUCCUUCUCGCUCCUCCCCUCCUCGGUCGUCCGCACCGCCAACGCCUCGCUCCUCCACGUCUCCGCCACGCUAUCCGUCUCCGGGGGCCGCCGCCCGGGCCGCUACGGGCUCGGCGGCCGCAACCCCUUCGAGGACGACGUCCAGGCGCGCUACUUCCGCCCGCGCCUCCCGCGCUUCACGGGGCGCCGCGGCUCCAUCAUCUUCGGCCUGGAGGGAUACUACUCGACGGGCUCCGGCGAGCUCUGCAUGGUCGGCACGGGCUCCGGCCGCGCGGCCGACGGCACGCCCGUGCACUUCCCCGUCGUGCUCCGCCUCGGCUUCCCCACCCCCGCCAACCUGACGCGGUCCUUCGUCACCGGCCGCCUCGAGAGCGUCGACACCAUCACACCCAUCGACCCCCUCUCACUCGUCGCCUACGCUGAGGAGGGAUACGCGUACGCGGAGAGCGCCUCCUGCCCACCCCCGCCUGCGGGGAGGCUCGACGCGCUCCAGGUGUUCGAGAAUAGGACUUUCUCGUGUGCUUACCUCAAUUCAAUGCUCAAAUCGCCGUUCAGGUUGCACUACCAGAGCGGCAGCGAGUCCACCGCAUCCUCACUGGGGCUUCACCAAAGGUACAUGUAUGUCAACCGGAUGCAAUGCAAGGAUGAUGGUGCCGUCCGCGCUUAUGUGGUAUUCACUAACCAGACAGAGGCAUCAAGGUACUACUUCAUGCUGGGUGAGAAGGCAGUUGUGGUGGAUGGGUUCUGGGAUCAUGGCAGAAGCCGGCUUUGCUUCAAAGGGUGUCACGUCGUGAACUCAGGGCCAUCCCCUGCUGAUUUGGCAGUGGGUGAAUGUGGAAUUGGGAUGAGCUUCUGGUUCCCGGCAGUGUGGUCGUUACAGCAGCGGAGCUUUGCUGCUGGUCUGGUCUGGAAUACGAGUCUGAAAAGUGGUGAAGCCAUUGCUGCAGGUUCUAGUGCAAUCACUCACAACUACAGGGGCAAUCUUGCUGGUUUGAAGUAUAAUUACACUAAGGUGGAUGAGGCGAUGAAGCACUAUAAGAAGUCUGGAUUGAACAAGGACAGGAAAGGGAAGUUCCCAGACAGCAGUUCGUACCGGGACUUGGUUUUCAGGUUUUUUGUGCAGAAAGGAGGUGGCUCUGGAUAUGCAUCGCCUGUCACACUUGGGUCAAUGUUGUUUGAUGGAAACUCUUUGGUGGCUCCGGAUCCCUUUUCUCAUCAUGUGACAGGCGUGAUGAAGCAGAGACUGAUUAAUGUCAGCUACGACAUCUACUAUGUUGGGAAUUGGUCUCUAGAAUCAUUCCAUCGUCGACAUAUCUCAGCGGAGGGUGUUUAUGAUACUAAGACAGGCUCCCUUUGCAUGAUCGCUUGUCGAGAGCUUAAUGUCUCAUCAGAUUGUGAAAUUCUGGUGACUGCUCAGUUUUCUUCUUUGGAUGCAAAAGUAGCACAGCAUGUAAAGGGAACUAUCAGAAGCUUGAGGAAGAAGACUGACCCUCUUUUCUUUGAAACACUGUAUAUUGCUUCAUAUGGGAUGUUCAUAGACCAAGUGGAUGAAUCAAUAUGGAGAAUGGACUUAGAAAGCACCAUGGCGUUGAUCUCUAUGACACUGGCAUGCAUCUUCAUCGCUGUGCAGCUGUUUCAUGUCAACAAGGUCCCUGAAGCACUUCCUGCCAUGUCAAUCACGAUGCUUGUUGUUCUGGCUUUGGGUUACAUGAUCCCUCUUGUACUUAACUUUGAGGCUCUCUUCAAGAACAGCAACAAACAGACCUUCCCGCUUGCAGGCGGUGGUUGGCUUGAGGUGAAUGAAGUUAUGGUGCGAAUCAUUACCAUGAUAACAUUUCUGCUACAGUUGCGACUUCUUCAGUUGGCAUGGUCUGCACGGUCUGUGGAUGUAAGCAAAGCUGAGUCAUGGGCUGCCGAGAAGAAAGUACUCUGGAUAUGCUUGCCACUGUACAUCACUGGAGGAGUUAUUACUUGGGUUGUUCACAUGAGGUUUAAUCACAGCCGAAGAAUGCUAAGGCAGGUAGUACAAAUCAAGCCAGUUGGACAUGCAUUCUGGGAGGACCUUGUAUCUUAUGGUGGAUUAAUACUCGAUGGGUUCUUGCUCCCUCAAGUGAUCCUUAAUGCUUCCUCAGAUUCCAAAGUUAGAGCCCUUUCCCCAGGGUUUUACAUCGGAAGCACCAUGAUCCGCGCUCUGCCUCAUGUGUAUGAUGUGUUCAGGAGACAGCAUUUUGUGCCGAGCUUGAGACCAUCUUACAUGUAUGCUAGCCCUCAUGAUGAUCUCUUCAGCCUCGCAUGGGACAUUGUGAUACCUUGUGGAGCAAUGCUACUGUCAGUGGUUCUCUUCUUUCAGCAGCGGCUUGGAGGUGCUUUCUUCCUUUGUUCGAAGAACAGGAAGACAAGAGAAUAUGAAAUGGUUUCCACCGUCAGUUCUUAAGAAAAGCUGAGUGGAUUCGAAAUGGUUCCUACAGUCGGUUCUCGACAAGCUUUUACAUCAUUGUUACAAAGGAAAUGUAGAGGAUGUUUACAAGUAAACGAAGAAAUAACUGUUCCUGGUCAAUGUUUGUUUUACAAAUGUGCUUGUUUGCAGCAAAAAUCACGUGCAUGUAUACGAAAGAUGAUACACAAAUUGGGCAAGUUUUGCACCUGGAUUUAGGAUGCUUAAUGCCUUUUACUCUGUUGCAAGUUAUACUUUGCAGCAUUCCUCAUGUGUCAGCAUCUCUCUGUCAGGAGGUGGUAAUUCGCCUCUUGUUUUGUGCAUCAGAUCAAGUGGGUCUUUUAUUAUCGCAUUUCUUCGGGGGUGUUUGGAUCUUUAGUCCCGACUAAAAUUUAUGUCACAUCGAAUAUUCGAAGGCUAAUUAGAAGGACUAUGAGCUAAUUAUAAAACUAAUUAUACAAAUAUAGGCUAAUUCACGAGACGAAUUUAUUAAGCCUAAUUAAUCCAUCAUUAGCACAUGUUUAUUGUAGCAUCACAUUGUCAAAUUAUGGAUUAAUUAGGCUUAAUAGAUUCGUCGCGCAAAUUAGUCUCCAUACGUGCAAUUAGUUUUGUAAUUAGUCUAUAUUUAAUACUCCUAAUUAGUAUCUAAACAUUUGAUGUGACAGGAAUUUUAGGAGCUACUAAAGAAACAAACACCUCCCGUUUCUAUAUCGUUUCAGUUCAUUUCCUGUGUGUAAGGUGGAUGACACCUGCUGGCCCGGGUUGUAAAAUCCGCAGUUGUGGCCUGAUUGUGAUUGAAGCUGUUGAUCCGAUAGGUCAUUGGCGGCACUUGUUACGAACCACGUGAUGCCUUCAAUUAUUCGCAGAUGUACAUUGUCUUUGCUAUCGUUGUUGCACGGCGCCCCACUAGCGUGCAUCGCCCGCGUUGCCCACCCUCCUCGAAAGUUCCUCGUGCGCGAUUUCAUACGCGUAAGAAAGCUCAGGUCAGAUUUGAACGUUGCGAAGCGCUAGACUGCUAUAGAACCGUGACGACUGACGAGAACAUCUGUGCUGACACGGUUGCAGACCAUGGGACUUUCCAAUUCUAAGGUCAGGCAGAAGGAAGUCGCAGGAUGGACCACCGAAAGCUGGGGCCAGGGAGCAAGGUAGCGCGAUGGUCGUUUUCCAUUGGCAUCGACGACUCCAGGUCGAUCAACUACGAGGAACCAAACUUGCAGUUCACUGCCAUGCCAUGAAGGUGACUGGAAUUCAGCUCAGUCCCGGGAGAACGCCGGCAGGCUCCCAUGUUGGCAGUGAGGACUGCAGGGUGCAGGCUGGAGGGCUGUUCACUUCAGCUUAUUCAGCUGGCUUAUCAGCUAACAAAUAGUAUUUUCUCUCACAACAAAUCAGCUAUUUCAACUUUUCAGCCGGCUUAUAAGCUGAACUUACCUCACCCAACUUUUCUUCCCCCGGUGAAUGAACCUGCAGCCUUGUUGACACAUUCAACACCUAAAUCACCAGAUGACAUGACUCCAAACCACCGUUUCUCUAAAAAAAUACCACAUGACACGGGUCAAUCUCUAGUCAUAACCACUUCCGUAGUAAAAGUAUAAGAGGACGAAACAGCAAGCCUCCAAACAGGUCCUUUCGCUCUGGCACGGCUGCUCUGCUCGGUUCCAUCACGGCGGAGCCCCCCGCACACCGCGGCGCCGGCUUCCAGUUGCAGGCUUGCAGCCAGCCUGCCGUUGCCGAAACGCCCCCACACGGCCAAACCCCCGUGCCCAACGCCCAGUUUUGGCCCGACCCCGCGUCGCUUGACCGGUAAAAGCCUAGCCGCCUCCGCGCGCGAGCCCCGCCGCGCGAUAGCGAUAGGGCGAUGGCGACGAGACCCUCCCGCGACCCCGUCAACCCCACGCCCUGCCAGGCUGCCACCGUCCGCACGUCACUCCACUGAGGCGUCACCCGGCGUCCCGGCCCACCCCGGAUGGUGCCCCACCACCCGCGACCUUGACCCCGCCCGCCCGCGCGCGCGCCGUCACCGUCGUCCCCCAUCGCCGCCUGCGGAAGCCCACGCACGCAGCCAGGCUGCGCCACGCCACGCCACCACACCACACGCACUCCCGGUACAAGACGACCGGGGAGCAAGCGGAUGGGCUCCGCAGUCCACACCACGCCGCACGGCAGGCCGAUGGAAUAGCACCGUACCGGUGGCGGCACGGGCGCGGCUUGCUUAUAACGCGCUGGGGGCAGAGGAGGGAAAGGACGGCGACGAUGAGGGGGUCCUUCGGCGCGCGGCGGAUGACCGCGCAGGAGGCGGCCGAGGCGGCCGUGGGCGCGGUCGGGUGCGGGUACGACCUCACGGGGGACCUCCGCCUGGGCCGCGCCAAGCCGGCGGGGAGGUUGGUGGAGAUCGACGCGGCGCCGGCGCCGGCGCGGGACCUGACCCUUCCUGGAGGGGCCGUCGUCUCCGGCGUGCCGGCCGGGAUCGUCGCCGACAAGGGCGAGCGCACGCGGUUCCGCUCCGACGUCCUCUCCUUCGCUCAGGUGUGCUUCCUUUGGGUUUUCGUUCUUCCCCCACUGACUUGAGUUCUCAGGAGCCCUGAGAGUGAUCGAUGCCCGGCCGCAGAUGGCGGAGCAGGUGAACCAGUCGCUGUCGCUGGCGGGGAAGAUCCCCUCGGGCGCCUUCAACGUCAUGUUCGACUACCGCGGGUGCUGGCACCGGGACGCCGCCGCCACGCGGAGCCUCUGCUUCGACGGCUGCUUCGUCGAGCUCUACAGCGUCGAGGCCGUGCGCGCGCAGCUCGCCCUGCGAGACAGCGUCAAGGAGGACCUGCCGCCCUUCUGGGAUCCCCCCGCGCUCGCCGAGUACGCUUGCCGCCGCUAUCCUCUCCCGUCCCAGCCGUGACGAUGCGCAGAGCAAGCAAACUGAUGCGGCUGCUUGCUCUCUGCAGGUUCAUCGACAAGUACGGGACGCACGUCGUCGUCGGGGUGAAGAUGGGAGGCAAGGACGUGGUGUGCGUCAAGCAGCUUAAGGGCUCCAGCCUGACGCAGAGCGACGUGCAGGCCCGGCUCAAGAAGCUCGCCGACGGCAAGUUCUCGCAGGACGGCCCGGCCGGGAAUCCCACCGCCGCCGGAGACGACAGGCUUACGCACGGGCUAAACGUGAGUGUUCUCUGCUCCGCGUGCACCUCUGCUCACAGUGUCACAGUCACUUGAAUAUGAAUGCCUCGUUUGAAAAAAAAAAUGAGUUCAUACCUGCUGCAUGUGUGAAACGAAUGAGCAAUUCUUGUUGUGCUACAGGGAAAUUUCGGCCCCGGAUCAGCGGCCUGGCAGUCUUUCAGAUCACCAGUCGUGUCUCACAAGGAUGUAAGGAAGCAUUUCGCCCAACGAUUUUACUGAUCACAAUGCGAUGGCACCACCAACAACAGCCCAGAAAUAACAUGGUUGCGUUGCGUCCCGUUGAAUUUUGGUAGGACAUUGUCUGCAUCCACAUCAGGAGAGGUGGCGUCGACAGCGGGCAGGGCCACGGCAAGUGGCUCUCGACGAUCACCGGCUACCCGGACGUCAUCUCGAUGUCGUUCGUGCCCAUAACUUCCCUGCUGUCCGGCGUUCGAGGCUGCGGGUUCCUGAACCAUGCGGUGAAUCUCUACCUCAGAUGUAAGCGUCUCUGAUCAUCUGAUGCAGCAUUGUCACUUUGCCACUUUGGAGUCAGUUCAGACGUCUAAUCGGCCGUCCAUUUCCUGCUUUUGGAUUCAGACAAACCGCCCAUAGAAGAGCUUCAGCAGUUUCUGGAGUUCCAGGUGCCGCGGCACUGGGCUCCAGAGUUUGGUGAGCUUCCUCUUUGCCUCCACAGGAGGAAGAACAGCUUGCCGUCUCUUCAGUUCACCCUCAUGGGCCCUAAGCUUCAUGUCAAUACUGCCAAGGUAUCCUGUUAGGAACCUGUCGUCUUGAUCACUGUUCCUAUUUGCAGUUGCAGAACUCAAACAAAAUUCUGUGUCGUGCAGGUUGAUUCCGGCAACCGUCCGGUGACCGGCAUCCGGCUGUUCUUGGAAGGCAAGAAGAACGACCGGCUGGGGGUCCACCUGCAGCACCUGUCGGUGACGCCGGGCACGAUCACGGUGGCCGGCGAGGCGGCGUCGGCCGAGGACGCGAUCGUGGACGAGCGCGACUACAUCGAGCCCGUGAUGUCGCCGCUGCUCUCGCACGUCUGCACGGCGCCGGUGCAGUACAACGGCGCGCGGAUCGACGACUGCGCGGCGAUCGUGACCAGGGCGUGGCUGGAGGUGCGGGACACCUGCUGCCUCAAGAAGGUGCUCUUCCUGCGGCUGGGCUUCUCCGGCGUCGCGGCCACGAAGAUCCGGCGGUCCGAGUGGGACGGGCCCUCCGUCGUGCCCCUCAAGUCCGGCUCGCUGUCGGCGAGGCUCAGUGCGGCGCUCUCCGGCGGCCUGGCGCAGGCGGUGCCGCCGCCGCCCGCCGCGGAGGAGAAGGUGGAGGUGAACUCCGCCAUAUUCCCCAAGGGACCGCCGGUGCCGCUCCCGGUGCAGAAGAUGGCGAGGCACGUGGACACCACGGAGGUGAUGAGGGGCCCCGACGACCAGCCGGGGUACUGGGUGGUCACCGGCGCGAAGCUGUGCGUCGAGGGCGGCAAGAUCGCGCUCAAGGUCAAGUACUCGCUGCUCAUCGCGGUGCAAGAGGACACCGACGUCUGAGCGCUUCGUUGUCGUCGUCGUCGUCGUCGAUGCCUCAGCUUCUCCGUUUUUGUGUCUUGUUUUGACGUGGUGUACAGAGGGCACAGGGCAGUUCAGUCGUGCGCAUGGUGUAAAUAGUGCAGAGGGCGCAUGCUGCAUACUUCAGUGUCAGAGAUGUUGUUGUUGUUGUACAGAAUAUAGAGUGCCCAAUAGCGGCUGAUAUUUUGGUUUGCCGAUUCAGGUUUUGCAAAUCUAGGAACAGUUUAGAUAUGUAGAAAUUAUCUUAUUUGAGCAUUCAAUAUAAGAAAACGAGUGAUGCUAUUGCUCAGCAGAUUGGGAAAAAUAGUUCGAUCAGUCAGUCGAUGAUCACUGUCGUCGACCCCUCUACUUCUUUUUGUGUUUGAUUGUUUCGUUAGCCGUGGUGUACAGUUCAGUAGUGAGCAUGUUGUAAAUAGUGAAGAUUGUACAUUCUGAUGGUUCAGGAUAAAAAUAGUUCAUAAACCGAUUGAUUUUUGUUUUGGGCUUGUUUUUGUUGGUUGCUAAAGGGUUCGCUCAUGCCUUGCUCGGUUUAAUGAAAAAACAAUCAUCCCUAAUCUUCUUUGCGAUCAAUUUGUAGGUGCCGGCCAGAUCUAUGCCUAACUUAAUAUUUGAGCACCAAUUCUAAUAUGUUGCAUUAUGUAAGCAUUGUCACUGUACCCCACGAAAUAAGUAAAAAAAUAUGAAUCAUAUAUUCCUUUUCCAUUUGUGUGUGAGGCCAUUUCCUCUUGUCUCAGCUCUGCGUGUUGGACAUUUUUUAUUCAUGAUUCAUGCAAAGUCAUCAAGUACAAUAUUAUUUAUUCAUGUAUCGCCACCUACUACAAUUUGAGGUUUCGACCUUCUCUCUCCUUUACGAGGCAUUGGUUUUCCUACACCCUGCAUGUGUUUGCCAACUCCACUACCGAACCUCCCACAAUAUGGAUUAUCAUUUUACAAUAUAUUGCCUAACCUUUACAUAACUCGAAUGUUUUUUUGGUUUGGUUUGGUUUGAUUUGAUUUGGAUUUCUCGAGAAAAAAUGAUUUAGACUUGAUUUUAAGAAGCCACCCGUUACUUGAAAAAGAUAGUUUCACUUGCCACUUUCAAUAUUAUACACGCUGGAACGCUAUUGUCAACCUGUAUAUGUACUAUGGCAUUCUAGUGAAAUCAUAUUUUUUGAAAUCAUAUUUUAGAGUGUUUGGCUCGGUGUUUUGAGAUUGUCAACCUCCAUAGGUCGUCCUGUUUGUCGGGACGUCUUUCGCUGCUGGAGCAUGAUCUGCCUGUCUUCGACAAUCCUAUCGUGUACUUGUUUGCAUUUGCCUGUUCCUCAUCGCUUGCUUGGUUGCUCGCCUCGAUGAUCUCCAUGUUCUUCCAUGGCUAGCGCCACAAGACCGGUCACCAUCCUGACUUGGAAUGUUCACGGCUUAAGUGACAAGUGCAAAUGUGACAACAUCCGGCUUGCACUUCCCUCCUGCUUGCCUGCUAUUACUAGCUCCAACACAUUGACAACUUCAAAGCCACCUCCUUCCUGCCUCCUUCUCUCCCUCCUUCGGUGCCUCUAGGGGCAUUCUCACUGUCUGGAACCCAAACCUCCUUACACUCACUGCUUCCUCCUCGCAGCGCUUCUCCCUAACCAGCACCUUCACCACCUUCUCCCUAAACUACUCUGAUUUGGUAUUGAGACCAAUUCAAUACCAAGCCCCAUAAUAGCGAUACCAAACGGAGCCUAAUUGUUGUAGGACUUGAUCUGGCUCUUCGGUCCACUGAAACUUGUCUUGCCACUUGAUUAUUUGAAGAAUGGUAGGUUCCAUUCUCCAAGCCUGAGAUGAAUCUGUUGAAGAUCGACAUGCAUCCAGUCAGCUUUUGGACGUCCUUGAUGCCUAUCGGUGAUAGGGCAUGCAUAUCGGUGUGGCGGAGAUCUUCUCAGGGUUAGCUUCAAUGCCUCGGUAAUUAAUGAUGAACCUGAGUAGUUUCUCAAAAAGCACGUCGAAGACGCACUUUAUCAGGUUAAGCUUCCACCGGAAGUCUCGUAGACUUACGAAAGUUUUUGCGAAAGUUUCUUCUACAUCCACAAUCGAAUCGACGGGAGCGCUCCCAAGGCACGUGUAGACCAAGGAGGUAGAGAAAAGCAGUACGGGAGCGGCACCCAAGCUUGAGGUCGACGUCUUCGGCCUCCUCGUCGUCUUGCUGCGUUCCUGCAAGCCGCGACCUUGACCUGCUCCUCCCGCAUACUGCCAUAGCUUAUCUGCUCCUCCCUCUCUGCUUUUCCAAUCACUGGCAUCGAUCCCUUCUCGGCCACCUCUAUCUCCGAUUAAAUUUGGAUUACAUAAGAGGAGUAGUGCACAGGUACAAUCCAUGUUUGCAUUGGAUUCAGGAUAUGGGUUAGGGAGGGCUCCGAUUUGUGGCAGAACCACAUGGAUGGGAGCUGAGGAAGGGGAUCUGGGAUUCGAUUGAUCUGACCAGGGAUUCGAUUGGAUUGUUUACGUCAGAACAAAAUAGAAGAAGAUAUUUUCUUGUGGGGCUAAUUGGGCUUGAGGUUGACUUUACUGUGCUGAAAGGUCAAUAGGUCAUGGCUACGACUGAGUGCUGGGCCUCAGUCGUAGGACUAUAAUUUGCUGGGCCUACAAGUAUAUUAUGAUUGCUUCGUCUAUCCUAGAUUUCCAAAUUAUAGGACUCAGCAUUGCUAUACUACAAAACGCUUUAAAGGUGUUUGGUUGCCCUUAGCCAGGCUCUACCGAUGCAACAUUUCCUAUUUGUUUAGUUUGCGCAUCCGCUCGAUCAGGCUCCACGUGUGUAAGAUUUUUCCUGCAGCCAGGCUCUGGAGGUACGCAGAAAUUGGUCGUUUCUGCCGAGCCAGGCUCGCGUGGUGCGGGUAAUUAGCCAUCUAAUGAUGUUAUUAAUACAUUAUUAGCACAUAUUAAAUGAUAUUAACAUAUUUCGAUUAAUAUUAAGGAGUAAUAAGAUAAACUAAGAGUUAUAAGAUAAUAGUUUUCCGCAAUAAAUAUAUUACGAUAAUUAUUUAUAUAUUUUUAUCUCAUACAACCGAUCCUCGUACAAGCAACCAAACAAAUUUUCGGAAGAGCCUAGACAGACAACCAAACACCAUGCUCCUACAUGUAUCGAAUCUAGCUCUGAGGAGCCUAGCUAACUGGUACGAACCAGGCUAUACUCCUCCAGUCAACCAAACACGCGCUUAAGCUACAGCUACAGGGAGAGGGUCACCGCACGCUUAGCGCGCUUUUCUUAACCUUGCCUGCCGUAGCCCCCUUCGAAAAAGUGUGGCGUUUGGUUAAGUUCCAAGGGAUCCAACUAUACACUGUAGGCUGUAGCCAAGGAAAUCCCCUUCUUUCGUCCUUCACCCUCCCGGCCGGCGCCGCGGCGGCGAGGGAAGACGCGCGGGCCUCUUCCGUCGCCUCUCCCUUCCGCCUCCGCGGUCCGCUCCGCUCGCGCCCCAUCGAGCGCUCUCCUCCCGACCAAGGGUCCCUCGGUGCCUCCUUCCGCCAGAGGGGGACACGCCGCCUGCCCCGCAGACAGUCGAAGACUCGAAGGGAUUCCUCCUGUCGUCGUCGUCGUCCUACACCUCCUCGGCGCUGGGGGGCCGCCGCGUGGAGGGGAUUCCUCCGAGCUUGGAUCGAUUUCUUCUGCACUUGGUAAGGAACCCUAACCUUGCUUGGUUGUUGGGCGGGUCGCGCGUCCUGUCACCUCUGAGUGAUCAAAUCCAGAUCUUCACGAUCCAACCCGCACUCUUUGUAGCGAAACUGUUAGAAGCUAGUAAAUUUUGCAAAGAAAUCUUGGGGUUCAACCCGAUCCCCACGGAAUUUCUUAGGGCUUGUUGUAUAACACAACUCCCUCCCAGUCCCAGUACAUGUGGAAUGGAGUGGAAAAUCAAGUAAUCAACUAAUUUUCCUAUCAGUCCCUCCGAAUACGCAUGUAUUCGAUGGGACUAUUCUCUAUCCAAACAAAACCUGUAGUGUUUUCCCUAGGUUUCUCAUUUAAGAGCGGUUUCUUAAGAAUUACUCAAUUGCAUUUCGUAUUUUUGUCUUUCUUGAUGACUCAUUGUUGAACAGUUUUGAGACAUCUUUUUGGCUGGUAAUGUUACAAUCAAUUUUUAUUUAGAUGGAUAGCAUAUAUAUAAGGCCACUCCUGAAUUCCAACAUAGAUUACACCAAGCAACAUCAUGUAUUAUUUCUUUGCAACUACUGCUGCCUUACUUGGUCCAGAUCCAUGCACCACCCUUGCCACAUCGCUUUGGUGCCUCUCUGCUUUCGUGAGUAACCUGACAGCUUGGUUUGAAUCCUACUCCUUGAUUUGAUCAAACCUAGAUAACGGUUGUGUACGAGGCUCAAAACUUUUGCAUGGUCUACAAAAUUAUUGGGCAUUCCACUGUUGGUUCUUUUAUUGCCCAAGCCACGUUGCCCUUAUGCCCGAGGCCCGAGCCAAAUAUUACAGAUCAGUACAUUAUUAAUGAUUAUAUGAUGGAAAUCUGGAAUGCUAAGUUUCCUUUAGUUUUUCUCUAAAGAACUUUGAUGUUUCAUAAAUAUAACUCUGAAGUAUAUGCCAUUAUUAUUUUUUGUUUAUUUCAUUUGAUAUUAUCUUAUUUUUAUAAAUACUAAAAAUUUUAUUUCUUGAUUGCCAGUUGAACUUGGAGUUAGACUAUGGAUCUGGAGACAGAGAAUCGUCUUGCUUCUUUACUACUUGAAGAAGCGCGAAGAUUACAGUUAGAGGCUGACAGGGAAGGUGUCCAUGCGUAUCUUCGAAAGCCUAAUGUAAGGCAUCGUCCAAACUCUCGGUUCCUCACGGCCACAGUUCGUGGAGUUCAGCAAGGUUAGCAUUGUGCUCCUUUGAAAUGCCAUUGUUGCAGCUGUAUUUUGAGUUUAUUGAAUCAUUUGCCACUCUUUUUCUAUAUUUUUGAAAACAAUAAAACAGUUGCAAUCACGUGAUCUUGUAAAAACUCUACCUGGCUCUUGCUUCCUGUAUAGGACUCAUGUUACUAUCUCUUUUAAUUACAUCAAGUAGCUUUUCCAUACGUUUUGUUGAAUUGAAUCAAGCUGUUGGCCUGCAGCAAACCGUGUUGUGGAGGUCAAUGAAAUGUGGCGAGCCAGGGAAAAGGAAUUGGAGUUGGAAUCCAAGAUGAGAAGCGGAAGUAGCAAAAGUAAAGAUCUUUAUGACUCAAGAGGUGAGAAGCGUAAAAGUGACUCCAGAAACCAUAGCUCCAGCUCAAGGGUUGAACAAGAAGGGAUUGCCUACUCCUACUCAGACAAGGAGGAUGGUCUGGGUGAUGAUGAAAUUGAAAGAUUUCUUCAUUCAAGGUUAGUUAGAAUAUUCAGUAUCUUCUUUUUGUGAGAAAAGUCCAUUAUUUUCUAGAUGAACACCUGGCAUGUAACUAUGAUUUUUUAAAAGAAAAAACUCUGGUGAUCUUUUAUGAAAAUCAUGCAAUCUGUCCACCUCCUGAUAGUAGCACAUUAUUCUAUUUGUGGGUGCUGGUAUCCUAUUAUGUGGCAUAUUGUGAAUUUGUGCAUGCCCUCUGGACCUUUGCUUGGUGUUACCUAUCUGUGACUAUUGGUAACAUGUGCAAUUUGUUGCUACUUUGUUAGGGUGAAGCGAGGACGUGGGGCUGUUGGUUCUAGGAUGGACGAGCCCGGUCCAUACCUUGAUUUGUUGUCCCAUCGUAAAGACAACGAGCCUAGUCCUGACAUACGUGUGGAAGAAAAAUGGGAACGCCGAGUGCAAGGCCCAGAGAAGCCUUCGUUUUUGAAAUCCAAAUCUCCUGAUGAUUGGCAUAAGGAAUCGUUGGAUGGAAAGUCGUCAAGCUCUGAACCACGGAGCAAGAAAGAAAAGAAACGGAAAUCAGAGAAAAAAGAUAAGAGAGAUAAAAAUAAGGAGAAGUACAAGAAGAAAUCCAAACAUCGUCAUCACCACCACCAGAAAAGCCGAAGAAGGGAGUGAUGUGUCUGUUUGCCAAACAGGACAUUUGUACAAUGGUUCUGCCCUGAAAGAAGCAGCUAGUUGGUUGUUGCUGUAACUUGAAAUCUCUGUUGUAUGAAAAAUCGACACUGCAGAAUGGACUAUGGUUCAUAUGAUAGUGUUGUUUCAUAGUUGUGUUGUUCAAGUCUAAGUGUCUAGCCCUUAUCCUAAUAUGAUUAAUUUAACAUUUGAUGAAAGAGUGUUAUGCUUUUUGGCAGGCACACAUAACAUGUCCAAUAUCUUAAGUAUUUGAUGAGCUGGUCUUGAAGCAUGUCAAUCUAUUAAUUACGUGGUUCAUAGGUCAAUAAACGUGCUCAAGAAUUUGUUGACCAUCAGAUAGCAUUCACAGAUUUGUUUAUUUGCUAUGAAUUAAGAUCGUUGGCGCGCUACUUGUCAAGUUUCACUGAACAUUACAAUUGACUGCAAAUGGUAAGAUCGAACACCAUUUUGUGAGAUCUUUUAGUUCCUCACUCAAAAUGGACCUAAAAUUCGUAGCAUGGAUCAUACUCGAUUCUCAGUAUGAAUGGUUUACUUUGCUUUUAGAAAGCCUCCCUGUUUCCCAAUUUAUGAAUUGAUGUUCUUUCAUAAUUCGAGUAGGGGGAUUUACAUUCGUAGCAUGGAUCAUACUCGAUUCUCAAUAUGAAUGGUUUACUUUGCUUUUAGAAAGCCUCCCUGUUUCCCAAUUUAUGAAUUGAUGUUCUUUCAUAAUUCAAGUAGGGGGAUUUACAUGUAGUUGACACCCCAGACAUGGCAAUAAGAGGGCAUCGGUAUGUUUGGAGAACUGGAGCCAGUAUAUCUUUCAAGAAAAAAAAAGAUGCAGACAUCAUUGAAAGACUGGGGUGGUAUACAGAACAUUAAAUAUGAAAUUUCGAUUCAGAAUUGCUUUACAGGACUAAUUCUUGAUCCAUACCACUGAAAGAGAGAAUGUUUGUGCGAAGGCUUGAUAACAUUACCACAACUCAAAAAUCCCAAAACAAAAGAAAGCCAUCAUCUAAUUCUGAAGACUAAAGCCAUGCAAUCUAUGGUCUCUGUACAGUAUAAUGCCGUGUAUUGAACGUAAUGGACUGAAAAAAGAACUACCUGCAACAGAAGAUAAAAAAACAUUAGAUACAGUCAAAAGAGAUAUAAGCUUGCAACAAGGAAAGGUAAACAGAAUGUCUUUGUGUUAACAUUAAUUCCAAGCAAACAGCUGUGGAUAAAAUUGGUCGCUAAAGAAUGCUCAAGCUAAAAUCUUAACACAUUUUUCAUGCAACCAUACCGAAUGUGCUGAACAUUGCAAAAACCAUGAAAUGCUGUGCAGUAAGAAAUACAAAGAUGGCUUCAGCAGAAAUGCUGUUCAGGAGUAGCUGUUCCAGCUGCUUCCACUGAAAGUCAGACAAUUCAGAUGGGCAAAAGUGUUUGAUCAGGCCAAACAGUAUUCAAGAGACUCAAUUGAAACAGAAUAUGGAUCUAGAGGUGGGCUGAUGCUGUCCUGUUCUUACACUUAAAGUAAUAAAGCAUUUUUUUAGGGAACAAAAUCCGGUGUUUUUUAGCCAUGGAAGCUUAGUAGCUAAGCAUAACUAGCUCUUAUGAAUAAUUUGGACAGCUCGUCACCAUCCCAUGUGAACACUAAAUAUCAAUUCCCAUCCAAUGCACAUAAAAAUUAAGCAUCCAAGAGUAACCAACAAUAUUCCGAAUAGGGGAUUACCCAACUGCACUGCUAUUUUUGUCCUGAUGAACCACAGCUGCUCACAUUAAAGUAUUCUGCUAAAAUCAUGUAGAAAAUUCCAGUAUGAUACAUGACCAGACAUGACCGUGACAUCAAGUUUCUUUUGUGAAAGAAAAUCAUGAUACCUACUUCAAUUUAACCUAAACAGAAAUGCAAAGUUCCCCCUAAUACAUCUUUGUUGCCUCUUUUUUUCAGUACUAUGGUAGUCGAAACUGAGAAAAAUAUCUAAAAUUUCAGGAUGGACAGAAGAGCUGUCAACAAAAGAUAUACACAUUCCUUCAUAGCACAUACACAUUCCUUCAUAGCACAAACUACUGUAAAAGGAAAGAACUGUGAUCUGCCAGUUCCCCAAUUUAGGAACUCAGAAGUAUCACAAGAAACCACAGAAAUUCAGAGGCAUUAUCGCGUACCUGAAGGAACGAAUGAACAAACUACGUCGAAUUAACUCAGCCGACGACAAAUGGACCAAUCUCGCCGUUGCGCAUGGCGCGGGCGAGCUCGUUGGCUACCACCAGGCAGGUGGACACCCAGCCGGCGAGCACCGCCCACACCAUGUCCACGAUGCAGACCGCGACCCCCCACGGCAUCGUCAUCCUUGUUCCCUCUCCUCAGCCGUCCCCCAAGGAGGCAAUUCCACAAACACCUUCCCUGCAGUCUACAAGCACGGUUGAGCCGAGGAGGAGAUCGCAUGAAUUCCGACGAAAUGAUGACAAGCGACGGGAAGAGAACUCACCUCUUAUCUUGCCGAUGCAAUCAGCACGCAUGAAACGAAAGAAACUCCGAUUAGCGCCAGUCCUAGUUUCGAUCAAGAAUCUUAAGCACCAGCAAUCGGCGAAAAAUAUUUGCGUCGACAAGACGGUGUCUGACAAGAGAUGGGGAUCGAUUUCACUACCGCUUUAGCCACCUAACCCUUGCUCUCGCACCAAGAACCAACACAACUCCGCCACUUAGUGAUCAACUGCAAUUCCACCACCUCCAGCAUAAAUUCUUUAAUCAGCAUGAUAAUUUCUUUUGAUCAGACGAUUAAAUAGAGAUAAGGGUUGAAGGGUAUUCUCUUCACCUUGCUUGCUUGGUUUUCCCAUCUUCUUUGCCUGCCUUCCACAGCAACCUUUCCCUUUCACCUUCACAUAUCUUUUUGUUUCUUUUGCCAGGUAAGCAGUUCAAGAUUCAAGAAACAACUAGGACCGCCUAUAAAAAAAAAAAAAAAAAAAAAAAA